rnacentral:rRNA from 1 species
UACGAAGGGGGCGAGCGUUGUUCGGAAUCACUGGGCGUAAAGAGCUCGUAGGUGGUUUGUCGCGUUGUCCGUGAAAACUCACAGCUUAACUGUGGGCGUGCGGGCGAUACGGGCAGACUGGAGUACUGCAGGGGAGACUGGAAUUCCUGGUGUAGCGGUGGAAUGCGCAGAUAUCAGGAGGAACACCGGUGGCGAAGGCGGGUCUCUGGGCAGUAACUGACGCUGAGGAGCGAAAGCGUGGGGAGCGAACAGG